rnacentral:lncRNA from 1 species
GCAGAUCACUGAAACAUCACUCCUGAAUGUUCCUCUGUACCCUCAGUAUGCAUUUGCACUACCAGUGAUCUCAAGAAUUCUAGAAAAUGAAAACUGGAUUACUAUCACCAAUGUCAAGGAACUCUGAGUCCUAUGGCUAUUGAUAUCUAGCAUCGUGGCUUCACUUACAUGGAUGAGCCCCAGCUGGAAUGCCUAGAAGACGUGGGACAGCUGGAUCUCUCUCCACACGGUUUUUCAUUGUUGCCUCAGGUUCCAACAAAAGCAAAAGCUGCAAGGUCUUCUGAGGGGAAGACUUAGAAAUACCACAAUGUUACUUCUGCUGCAUUUUGUUGAUAAAAAAUCCCACAAUGCCAGCUUCAUUUAAAGGGGUAAAGAUACAGAUUAUUCACCUUCGAUGGGAGGAACUGCAAAUGAUGUAAUUUGUGAUAAUUUUUAAUAUAUUGUAAUGUAUUGACUUAUCUUUAAAAAAUGAAAAAUAAACCA